rnacentral:rRNA from 1 species
UACAUGGGGUGCAAACGUUGCUCGGAAUUACUGGGCGUAAAGCGUGCGCAGGCGGUUGGUUAAGUCUGAUGUGAAAGCCCCGGGCUCAACUUGGGAACGGCAUUGGAAACUGGCCAGCUGGAGUGUGGCAGAGGGGGGUGGAAUUCCGCGUGUAGCAGUGAAAUGCGUAGAGAUGCGGAGGAACACCGAUGGCGAAGGCAGCCCCCUGGGCCAACACUGACGCUCAGGCACGAAAGCGUGGGGAGCAAACAGG